GCGAGCCGUAUGAAGGGAAACUUUCACGUACGGUUCUGAGGGCAGCUUGACUGACCCUAC
rnacentral:ncRNA from 1 species